rnacentral:rRNA from 1 species
AAGCUUGCUUCCGCUGACGACCGGCGAACGGGUGAGUAACACGUAUGCAACCUACCUAUAACUGGGGAAUAGCUCAUAGAAAUGUGAAUUAAUACCCCAUAAUAUAUAUCGAAGGCAUCUUUGAUAUAUUAAAGCUCCGGCGGUUAUAGAUGGGCAUGCGGGACAUUAGCUUGUUGGUGAGGUAAUAGCUCACCAAGGCUACGAUGUCUAGGGGGUCUGAGAGGACUAUCCCCCACACUGGUACUGAGACACGGACCAGACUCCUACGGGAGGCAGCAGUGAGGAAUAUUGCGCAAUGGAGGAAACUCUGACGCAGCCAUGCCGCGUGCAGGAAUAAGGCCCUAUGGGUUGUAAACUGCUUUUAUACGGGAAGAACUACAUCUACGUGUAGAUGUUUGACGGUACCGUACGAAUAAGGAUCG